UACGUAGGCAGCGAGCGUUGUCCGGAAUUAUUGGGCGUAAAGGGCUCGUAGGCGGUUUGUCGCGUCGGGAGUGAAAACCCAGGGCUUAACUCUGGGCUUGCUUUCGAUACGGGCAGACUGAGAGGUAUGCAGGGGAGAACGGAAUUCCUGGUGUAGCGGUGAAAUGCGCAGAUAUCAGGAGGAACACCGGUGGCGAAGGCGGAUCUCUGGGCCGAUAACUGACGUGAGAGCGAAAAGCAUGGGGAGGCGAACGG
rnacentral:rRNA from 1 species